AUUGAACGCUGGCGGCGUGCCUAACACAUGCAAGUCGAUCGGUAACAGGUGUAGCAAUACAUGCUGACGAGAGGCGACGGAUGAGUAAUGCUUGGGAAUCUGCCUAUUAGUGGGGGACGAACCCGGGGAAACGUCGGGCGUAAUACCGCAUACGCUCUACGGAGGAAAGCCGGGACCGGCAAGGCCUGGCGCUAAUAGAUGAGCCCAA
rnacentral:rRNA from 1 species